rnacentral:rRNA from 1 species
UACGUAGGGCGCAAGCGUUUAAUCGGAAUUACUGGGCGUAAAGCGUGCGUAGGCGGUUGCGCAAGACAGGUGUGAAAUCCCCGGGCUCAACCUGGGAAUGGCGAUGAAGACUGCAAGGCUAGAAUCUGGCAGAGGGGGGUAGAAUUCCACGUGUAGCAGUGAAAUGCGGUAGAGAUGUGGAGGAACACCGAUGGCGAAGGCAGCCCCCUGGGUCAAGAUUGACGCUCAUGC